rnacentral:rRNA from 1 species
GAUGAACGCUGGCGGCGUGCUUAACACAUGCAAGUCGAACGAUGAAGCCCAGCUUGCUGGGUGGAUUAGUGGCGAACGGGUGAGUAACACGUGAGUAACCUGCCCUUAACUCUGGGAUAAGCCUGGGAAACUGGGUCUAAUACCGGAUAGGAGCGUCCACCGCAUGGUGGGUGUUGCAAAGAUUUAUCGGUUUUGGAUGGACUCGCGGCCUAUCAGCUUGUUGGUGAGGUAAUGGCUCACCAAGGCGACGACGGGUAGCCGGCCUGAGAGGGUGACCGGCCACACUGGGACUGAGACACGGCCCAGACUCCUACGGGAGGCAGCAGUGGGGAAUAUUGCACAAUGGGCGCAAGCCUGAUGCAGCGACGCCGCGUGAGGGAUGACGGCCUUCGGGUUGUAAACCUCUUUCAGUAGGGAAGAAGCGAAAGUGACGGUACCUGCAGAAGAAGCACCGGCUAACUACGUG